rnacentral:tRNA from 1 species
GGAAGGGUGUCCGAGUGGUUUAUGGUGCCGCUCUCGAAAAGCGGUGCGCCUGAAUAGGGCGCCGCGGGUUCGAAUCCCGCCCCUUCCGCCA